GACGAACGCUGGCGGCGUGCUUAACACAUGCAAGUCGAACGGAAAGGCCCUGCUUUUGUGGGGUGCUCGAGUGGCGAACGGGUGAGUAACACGUGAGUAACCUGCCCUUGACUUUGGGAUAACUUCAGGAAACUGGGGCUAAUACCGGAUAGGAGCUCCUGCUGCAUGGUGGGGGUUGGAAAGUUUCGGCGGUUGGGGAUGGACUCGCGGCUUAUCAGCUUGUUGGUGGGGUAGUGGCUUACCAAGGCUUUGACGGGUAGCCGGCCUGAGAGGGUGACCGGCAACAUUGGGACUGAGAUACGGCCAAGACUCCUACGGGAGGCAGCAGUGGGGAAUAUUGCACAAUGGGCGGAAGCCUGAUGCAGCAACGCCGCGUGCGGGAUGACGGCCUUCGGGUUGUAAACCGCUUUCGCCUGUGACGAAGCGUGAGUGACGGUAAUGGGUAAAGAAGCACCGGCUAACUACGUG
rnacentral:rRNA from 1 species